rnacentral:misc_RNA from 1 species
UUAAUUCACAUAAAUUUCCAUUUGCAGCAACGCACAAUGGAGUGAUUAUAUGGAACAAGUAGAAUGAUUACCAAUUAUUGCAUUGUUACACAGUGCACAUGUAAUCAAUGCCAAUGUUAUUUGGCAUAACUCCUAUCACAAAGGCCCGUUGUCAUGCUAGUUCCCCCCUUAACACGGUACUGACAAAUGUGCUUGGCUGCUUGCGCAGCCUAGACACAUCAAAUGCCAUAACUGUGCCGACCAAAACAAACAUCCGAGAAAACAGGACAACUACCAUGCAUACCGGUGAAAACAUCCUAGCUAUUAAUGCAUGUGAGAUAGUUUGGGGAUCACAUAAGCCUGAACAUUCAAAUAAAUUAAAAAUCUAAUCAUAACAAUACAGGUAUUAAAACAUGGAUCAUCCUGGUUGUUAAAUAAAUGUUUCUUGAACCAUUAUAACACACACAGAACUACCUAAGAAAGCUGGCGGUCCAACCCAGUUUGUCCUGUCUGAACCCUCUUAGUGAUGG